UUCGCAAUGCCCGAAAGGGUGACGAAGCGACGCCGCGUGAGUGAAGAAGGCCCUCGGGUUGUAAAACCCUGUCAGGAGUUAAGAAAUGUAGGUGCGCUAAUAUCGCAUUUAUUUGACGAAGGCUCCAAAGGAAGCCACGGCUAACUCUGUGCCAGCAGCCGCGGUAAUACAGAGGUGGCAAGCGUUGUUCGGAAUUAUUGGGCGUAAGGAGCACGUAGGUGGGUUUGCAAGUCAGAUGUGAAAGCCUUCUGUUCAACGGAAGAAUUGCAUCUGAAACUGCAAGUCUUGAGUGUAGGAGGGGAGAAUGGAACUUCUGGUGGAGCGGUGAAAUGCGUAGAUAUCAGAAGGAACGCCGGCGGCGAAAGCGAUUCUCUGGCCUAUUACUGACACUCAGUGUGCGAAAGCUAGGGGAGCAAACGGGAUUAGAUACCCCGGUAGUCCUAGCCGUAAACGAUGGGCACUAAGUAGAGGGGUUUU
rnacentral:rRNA from 1 species